rnacentral:rRNA from 1 species
AGAUGUUGGGUUAAGUCCCGCAACGAGCGCAACCCCUACGUUUAGUUGCUAACGCGUGAAGGCGAGCACUCUAGACGAACUGCCGUUGACAAAACGGAGGAAGGUGGGAUGACGUCAAAUCAUCAUGCCCCUUAUGUUCUGGGCUACACACGUGCUACAAUGGCCGGUACAGACGGACGCAAAGCCGCGAGGUGGAGCAAAUCCUAAAAAGCCGGUCUCAGUUCGGAUUGCAGGCUGCAAUUCGCCUGCAUGAAGUCGGAAUCGCUAGUAAUCGCAGGUCAGCAUACUGCGGUCGAAUACGUUCCCGGGCCUU